rnacentral:misc_RNA from 1 species
GAAACUCCAUUUAUUAAACAAACGAAAAAAAACAAGAGGAUAAUUUCUUUAGGCAAAACCAAAAGUUAGCGGACAAUAACAGAACCCAGCGGCUUUUCAAUUUGGGACGAAAAUGCUCGAGGACCUUUACCGAUUUAUGGUGUAGCCUUAACCUGCUCAAGACGCGCCCGUCGCCGCGUGUUUCCCAAGAUUCCUCCGUCAAAUUCCAUGGUA